GGGGUAGUAAAGGUUUCGACAUAUAUUACUACAUAUGAUUGCAAGUGGGAGUGACACCUUACGUCUAAAACUAAAAUUAAAUGACAAGAAUGAAAGUUCUUUUGCUUCAAAUGCUUAUGCAUUUGCCUAAUUAAUUAACAGGAAUAGCAAGCUUCUAUUUAUUUUGCUUAUAGGAUAAAUUAGAGGUUCAUAUAUAUAAGAUAUAUUAUUUUAUUGGUUUAGGAUAAAGUAAUGAAUGUAAACUAAACUUAAAUUUAUAAUCGGUUAGUCUUGAGCCAGUUAUAAAUUGACAUCUAAAUCAAGCUAAACUUGUAGAUAUUGUAUGAUAGGAUAUAUUGGACAGGAGUUCAACUCUCCUCUACUCCACCA
rfam:Mycoplasma sp. CAG:776 genomic scaffold, scf20